rnacentral:rRNA from 1 species
CCUACGGGUGGCAGCAGUCGAGAAUUUUUCACAAUGGGCGCAAGCCUGAUGGAGCGACGCCGCGUGGGGGAUGAAUGGCUUCGGCCCGUAAACCCCUGUCAUUCGCGAUCAAGGCGCAUUAUUUAAAAGAUGAUGUGUUGAUAGUAGCGGAAGAGGAAGGGACGGCUAACUCUGUGCCAGCAGCCGCGGUAAUACAGAGGUCCCGAGCGUGGUUCGGAUUCACUGGGCGUAAAGGGUGCGAGUGUGAUGGGAACUCCCCGGGCUUAACUCGGGAAAGGCAUUGGAAACUACCCUGCUGGAGGUUCGGAGGGGGGACUGGAAUUCUCGGUGUAGCAGUGAAAUGCGUAGAGAUCGAGAGGAACACCAGUGGCGAAGGCGGGUCCCUGGACGACACCUGACACUGAGGCACGAAAGCUAGGGGAGCAAACAGGAUUAGAUACCCCUGUAGUC